UGUGGCUUAGUUGGUUAGAUCACCGGACUAGCGGUACGGAGUUGUGGGUUCGAAUCCCACCA
rnacentral:tRNA from 1 species